rnacentral:rRNA from 1 species
UACGGAGGGGACUAGCGUUGUUCGGAAUUACUGGGCGUAAAGCGCACGUAGGCGGCUUUGUAAGUUAGAGGUGAAAGCCCGGGCUACCACCCGGAAUUGCCUUUAAGACUGCAUCGCUUGAAUACCAGGAGAGGUGAGUGGAAUUCCGAGUGUAGAGGUGAAAUUCGUAGAUAUUCGGAAGAACACCAGUGGCGAAGGCGGCU